AGUCGAACGGCAGCACGGGAGCAAUCCUGGUGGCGAGUGGCGAACGGGUGAGUAAUAUAUCGGAACGUGCCCAGUCGUGGGGGAUAACGCAGCGAAAGCUGUGCUAAUACCGCAUACGAUCUCUGGAUGAAAGCGGGGGACUCGCAAGGGCCUCGCGCGAUUGGAGCGGCCGAUAUCAGAUUAGCUAGUUGGUGGGGUAAAAGCCCACCAAGGCGACGAUCUGUAGCUGGUCUGAGAGGACGACCAGCCACACUGGAACUGAGACACGGUCCAGACUCCUACGGGAGGCAGCAGUGGGGAAUUUUGGACAAUGGGCGCAAGCCUGAUCCAGCAAUGCCGCGUGCAGGAUGAAGGCCUUCGGGUUGUAAACUGCUUUUGUACGGAGCGAAACGGUCCGCCUUAAUACGGUGGGCUAAUGACGGUACCGUAAGAAUAAGCACCGGCUAACUACGUGCCAGCAGCCGCGGUAAU
rnacentral:rRNA from 1 species